rnacentral:lncRNA from 1 species
CUUAACCGGAAAGUGCAUACUCCAGGAGUUGUGCCGUCGAGGCAUUGGAUGGGAUGACCCACUUCCCGAAGACUUAAGUCCACGGUGGGAGAGAUGGAAGAGCGACCUACAAAGGCUGAAGGAAGUCUCAAUUCCGAGAUGCUACCAACCACAAGCGUUCUUCAAAAUUGUCACGAGGGAACUGCACCACUUCUCGGAUGCCAGCAAUAUAGGAUAUGGCUCCUGUUCCUAUCUGAGAAGCAAGAAUGAAGAUGGCGAAGUUCACUGCAGCCUCGUGAUGGCAAAGGCCAGAGUUGCGCCCACAAAACUCACAAGCAUUCCAAGAUUGGAACUUUCAGCAGCAGUGGUCGCUGCAAGAUCAAGUGUCAUGCUGAGAAACGAGCUUGAAAUGCCGAUCCAUGCAGAAUUCUUCUGGACUGAUUCUCAAGUUGUCCUGGCUUAUAUCAACAACGAAGCAAGAAGGUUCCAUGUCUUCGUUGCCAAUCGUGUGCAAAUGAUCAGAGAACACACCAGCCCCAGCCAGUGGCACUACAUAGACACAACAGAAAACCCUGCUGACCAUGCGUCGAGAGGUCUCCAUGCAAUAGACAUAUCCUCAACAAACUGGCUACCAGGACCCAAAUUCCUGUGGGAACAAGAAAUACAUCCAGAGUCUCACCUCACUCCUGAGUUGCUUGUUGGUGAUCCUGAGGUCAGGUCAAUGCAGGCGUUUACAACUAAAGUUGAACCCUCAAAGUCAGACUUUCUGACCCGUUUAAAUCGAUUCUCCUCCUGGUCAAAACUACUAAAAGUCAUCGCAAGAAUCAAGAGGCUGAAUUCAAAGCAAACCCAUCCUGGCAAACCUGUGAGUGUGGAAGAACGCGAGAGAGCUGCCGAAUCAGUAAUGAGGCUUGCACAAGAAGAAGCAUUCUCCCAAGAGAUGAAGAUACUUCAAAAGGGAAAAAGUCUUCAAAACUCCAGCCCUCUGUUUCGCUUGGAUCCCAUCUUAGAAGGAGGAGCACUUCGUGUCGGUGGGAGACUAAAUCAGUCAUCCUUAAGCCUAGAAGUCAAACACCCUUUGAUUCUACCCAAAGGGGGACAUAUUACCAAGCUGAUCUUGACCCACUUCCACGAGAGGAUCU